rnacentral:rRNA from 1 species
AAAUUGAAGAGUUUGAUCAUGGCUCAGAUUGAACGCUGGCGGCAGGCCUAACACAUGCAAGUCGAACGGUAACAGGAAACAGCUUGCUGUUUCGCUGACGAGUGGCGGACGGGUGAGUAAUGUCUGGGAAACUGCCUGAUGGAGGGGGAUAACUACUGGAAACGGUAGCUAAUACCGCAUAACGUCGCAAGACCAAAGAGGGGGACCUUCGGGCCUCUUGCCAUCGGAUGUGCCCAGAUGGGAUUAGCUUGUUGGUGGGGUAACGGCUCACCAAGGCGACGAUCCCUAGCUGGUCUGAGAGGAUGACCAGCCACACUGGAACUGAGACACGGUCCAGACUCCUACGGGAGGCAGCAGUGGGGAAUAUUGCACAAUGGGCGCAAGCCUGAUGCAGCCAUGCCGCGUGUAUGAAGAAGGCCUUCGGGUUGUAAAGUACUUUCAGC